GCCUGUUUGUUCCGGAAAGCGAAGCCCAGCCUUACUUAACUAACUCAGUUUAACACAUGCAGUAAAAAUAAGCAUUCACAGGCAGCGAGAAAAGCUCUAGUCUACAACCGUAAGCCAUCACGUUUGUAAGGAUUUCUCCAGAGUCCGAUAUUCUGAAAGAUGCAGCUCAGGCGCCUCACCUCGGACGAUUAACCUGAAAACACCUGAUCCUCUCCCUGGGUUCCUUGCCUGGGAAAAACGGGAGGCUCAGAUGUCCGCGUGGCCCGGGGUAGGGGCACGAGGUGGGGGGAUGACGGCGCAGACAGGCGGAGCUCCAGAGGAGGGAAUCGGUAAGUACACUCACCCCAGCUUCUACCGCCAUGGCUCUGCAGUCAUAGCUCUGGAAGGAAAGACGCCUGCCGGAAACAGUACAAGAGCGUACAUAGAUCGCGGUUCAAGAAUCUUGUGGAUGAGGGUCGCAGGCACAUGCCCAAAUGCCAAGUCCGACUGAGGGUGGUGUUGACUUGGCAGUUUGGACACGGCUGACAGCCUCUUUCCAAGGAAGUCGUAUCCCUACUCUUCACCUGGUGAACAGCACCAGAGAAAGUCCCAGAGUUCCAGGUUGCUUGGAUCUUCAGGUCUCCUUUUUAGCUAGGGCGAAGAGCGUUCUGCCAGAGCAUUAUUUUAAUGUGUCUCCAGACAGAAGCUGUGAACAGAACGAGGUAUUUAAAAGUAUAUGUAGUCGACCCUCUUUUGAAGGUCAACGUCCAGCGGGCUAUCAGGUAAAAAUAUCUUAUUUUAGAACCCUUUUCACUAGAGGAGGUCCUUGGGUGGCGAAAACAGUUUGGGCUGGACUCCCCACCCCUCUCCCGGGGCGGGGGGGAAUAAUGUCGUUGAGCCGACUUUGACUUAUAGCGGCCCUAAAGGACAAGGUCCUCUACUGUCCCACAGGGCUACCAAGGAGCUGGUGGAUUCAAACUGCUAACCUUUUGGUUAGCAGCCGAACUCUUAACUACUGCGCCACCAGGACUCAAAAAAAAAAAAAAGACCCUUUGCGGUCAAGCGGAUUCUGACUCAUAGUGACCCUAUAGCAACCCUGAAGGACAGAGUAGAAUUGCCCCAAAGAAUUUCCAAGGAGCGCCUGGUGGAUUCGAGCUGCUGACCUUUUGGUUAGCUGCAGUAGCACUUAACCACUAUGCCACUAAAGUUUCCACCACCAGGUCUAGUAACCAAAAAGUUGGCGGCUAGAAUCCAUCCAGAAGAAAAACCUGGCAAUUUAUUUUGGUAAGAUUAAUAUCAGUUGCCAUCUAGUCAAUUCCAACUCUACAGCCAUUGAAACCCCUAUGGAGUGCAGUUUUACUCUGACACACACAGGUCACCAUGAGUCAGAAUCGACUUUUCAGAAGUUCCCACUGUAUACAGACAGGCUUAGAAGAAAAGGAAAGGAAACUUUACAGCACUGUUCUUGUGGGGAGAAUGUGGACUCGGAUGAAAGGAGAAUAUUGGAGGUAUCUCUUUAGGAGGUUGGAAGUACAUAUUCAGAGCAUCAGCUCCAUGGGAAGAUUUUCUCUCUCUGUCGGUUCUGAAGGAAGGUCCUUGUCUUCAAUCUUUCCUUGGACUAGGAGCUUCUCCUGCCACUACUUUCUUGGAGUCUUUCACUGAAGAGUGAACCUCAGGAAUGACUUCAUUAUGGAGCUAAAAAGGUGUCCGGGGGCCAAACUCUUGGAGUUUCUCCAGUCUCUGUCAGACCAGCAUGUUUAAGAGGCACCCUGUUUAAGAGGUGACCAGGCUUCAAGCACGCAGUCUGGGAGAGUCCUUAAAGAGGACUGGCAGAAGAACAAGACAGGAAGAACUUGGGUACGUGAAUAACUGUGUGAAGCCGAGCCACUCACCAACUUGGAAAAUCCAACCCCUGAAAAUUGAUUGCCUCCAGCUACUCUUUCUUGUGACUAUUAUGUGUUGGGAAUAUGACAGUGACACAUCUGUCCCCAUGGAGCAUAAGUGAUCCUAGGCAAAAAGGAAGAUCCUUUUAUGGCCAUGAAUUUUUUACUCUUGCUCUACUUCUCUGAGUCCAAAUUCAAAUCUUCCAUUAUUAAUUGGGAAUUACCCCACUACCACCAUCUACUUCACAAGGUCUUGGAUAGAACAAAUCGAAAGUGAUGAAGCAAUACUUUGUGAACUGAAGCACAUUACAAUUAUGACUACAAUAUCCACAUGACAGGAUCUAGUGAGAUGGAUGAAAAACUGACACUUGAACCAAUUAAGUAAUUUGCCUAAAGUUACAUAGCUACUAACUGGCGAACUGACUCAAAUAUACAUUUGUCUGAUUCCAAAGCCCAUGUAUUUUAUAUCAGGUUUAUUCUACUCCAGUUGAUGUUUAUCUAUGACAGUGAAGUUGCACUAAUGGCCUUCAUUAUUAAAUCACCUUGUAGGAUAUAAGCUCUACAAUUCUAUGAGAUCCACUGCUAAAUUCACGAUGCGGAGGAAUAGCUUGAGAUGAGCCUAUAAUAAGGUUGAAAACAAAACAAACUGAAUGUAGCUAGCAGGUCAGGUUGCUUUUACCACUGUAUUGAGUCAUCUGAAAGGGUCUAGAUUUCACAAGUGUUCCAUUUAUUCAUUCAACAAAUAUUUGAGUCACCUACUGUGUUCUUUGAGGGACGAAAAGAUUAAUAAAGUGGAUCCUGCCUUUAAGGAGCUUCCAAUCUAGAAUAAUUGAUAUGUACUUAGAAGAUUCUAAAAUAAAAGAGAGUGGUAGGCCCACAAAAAAAAAAAAAAAAGAGAGAGAGAAAGAAAGGAAUGGAAAAGAAGAAAGAACUGGGAGUUCAGAACACAGAAUGCAUUUCUAACUGAAGAACCCCAAAAGGGUCCAUGAAGGAGUGAGCAAUUGAGCUAAGCUUUGAAGGAUUAUAAAAACUCCAAAAAGCUUUCUAAAAGUUGAGAGAAAAUAAGAAAAGAUAUGAGGCUAUAGAUGAUAGCUCAAUUUUUAAAAAUCAAGUAAUACUGAUAAUUCAUAAUCUGCUGAUAUUAGGAUCAAAAUUUGUAACCAAAUUUAAAAUAAUUUUAUAGUUUCAGUGCUUUUUCAUAUUAAAUGUCAGGAAUAGUUAUUAGAUUAUACUAUCUUCUGAAAAAUUUUUAACUUCAGUUUCUAAAAACUUGAUUUUUCACAGCGAAUUAGUUAAGUUUCAUGGGCAUAGUUUUCAUACAAAGUACUGUUAAAGAGGUAAUAGAAGUCUCAGUAAUAUAAAGGCAAGGUGUAUCAAAUGCUGUCCUGCUUAUGACCAAACAGCAUUGGGUUACUGACUGUGAUCCUCUUGAGUUGAUGACUUCACAUAAGAGCCAUUUUGUCCUCUUAAAAAAAAUAAAUAAAUAACCAAACCCGUUGCUGUUGAGUCAAUUCUAACUCAUAGCGACCCUAUAGGACAGAGUAGAACUGUUCCAUAGGGUUUCCAAGGAGCGCCUGGCAUAUUCCAACUUCUGAUCCUUUGUUUAGCAGCCAUAGCUCUUAACCACUAUGCCACCAGGGUUUCCAAGGAGAAGAGUGGUGCAGCAGAAGCAUGCUGGGCCCAUAACCCAGAGGUUGAUGGAUCGAAACUAUACUCUGCUAUUUUAAUUUUUUUGUCCUCUCUAGAGAACAUUAAUAGCUCCAUUUUUGACUAGAAUAUAAAGAGUAUAGAAGUGAUAGGUUGAUCUGGAAGGGGAGAAACAAGGAAAGCACUAUGAGUGAUGUCCAAAGCUCAGCAAAAAGAACCCUUGGCAAUAACCUUCAGCAAAGAGAAACAGACUGCAAAGAACCAAGCAUACACAACCUAUAACCCUCUGUUUCUUUCGUAUUUGAAUACCUGCUCUGUGUUAGGUACUGUUGUUGGUACUGGAGACACAGCAGUGAACGAGACAAGUUCUCUGCCCUCUUAGAACUUACACUGAGGUCCAAGAGAUAGAUAAUAAUAAACAAGUUAUUAUAACAAAAUAGAGUUAGCUGCACCAAUGUUUCCCCUGAGCACGCGCAAGUGAAAACAUCCUAUAUAAUUCAUCAUAUGUUAACAUAAGCAUAUGAAAUAUAUAAUUAGAUAAAACAAUUUUUACCGAGACUAGAACCAAACUCAUCUUAGCCCACACUUACAGUUAGAGUAAAGUCGUAACAGUCGGGGAGCUCGUGGUGACGAACUGUCUGCAGAUUAAUGGCCUUCAGUUUAAAUUGAAGCUCCACUGUUAGGAGUCUAGAAAACAGAGGAGACUUCAGUACAGCUGAAAGUCACACACAAACAAGUUACACUCCCACCGGCUUCCCUCACCUGUGGAAGUCUAGCGUUAAGUUGAGUUUAUUUUCUUCUCGUGUUCCAACGUGAAAAGGCUCAUCUGGCUCUACAAAGAAGCACUCUGACAUAGAAAGGGGGGAAAACAAACAAACAUGAUAUAGUACAUAAAAGAAAUAAAUAAAACUGCAUUUUGAAGAGAUAAUACACUUUAAGACAAGAUAUUUAAAUUCUAAUAUUUUUCUAAAUAAGAUUUUAAAAGCUAGACAUCGAUACCAUUUGGUUACAGAGACUCAUUUGUUUUUCAGACAAAAGUGACUACAAUAUUUACGAAGUGGAUGGGGGUAGAAAAAGAUCGUUAGAAUGGCAUAGAAUGUAUCUUCCUUCCCAUCUUUUAAAGCCUACAUAAGCUUUGAGUCUCCCCUUCCGUCCUUUGUAUCCUAAGUAUUUGAAAUACCUGCAGUGCCCAAGACAAGAUGUGCUAAGUAGUUUAAAGAAUCUAAUAUUUUAAAAUAUUAUGCAUUGACAAUUUUUCCUCAAUAAGCACUUUUAAAAAAAGGAAGCCAGUACCUUAGAAGAUUUCACUUUAGUCCUUUACCAUUUCUCUCAAAAAAAGGUACCAGUGCCUAUUGUCAAAAGUAUCCAGAUACAUAUUUUUGAACUGAAUGUUCUAAGCUAAUGUUUAAGGUAAAAAUUACAAAUUAGGACUUUGUUAAUAAGAAACACUUUUGAACAAGCUGUGCUAUUCUAAGUUCCAGUUCUCAUUUCCUCCUCAAUCCACCCCCAAAGAUACUGAAGAGGUAAGUGCUAUUUGGUGGAGAGAACUUUAUACGCAUUAAGAAUUUGCAGGCAAAAGUCUAUUUAACUGGCUUAUCCAGCAUGACAGGCAGUAGAAUGUAGUGGCUGAGAGCAUAGACUCUGGAGCUAGAUGGGCUGGGCCAAAUUCCAGUUCUACCUCUUACUACCUCCACCUCGAGCAGAUCACUUAACACGCUGAGCCACACUUUAACCUUCUAUAAAAUGCAGAUAAUAAUAAAGCUUGUCUUGUUGGGUCUUUGUGAGGCUUCAUGAGUUAAAGAGCUCAGAAGAGUGCCUGGCAUGUAACUCUCACGUAGUUCUUACUAUGCUCCAAUAAAACCAAAUCAGUGUUUUUAGAGAUAAAAUUACUAAUCUUAUGUAUAAAUCAAGGAGCUAAAAAGUGAAGUUCUGAGUUACAGAAGAACAUCACCAGUUUCAAUUUCUGGAUCAAUGUCAAAGGUGUCAUUUCCAGGACAGAUGGUUCCUUGUUUGUAGAAGCGCUGACAGAUUGCCAUGGCAGAUUGCUCGGUACCUUUAUUCUCAUAAGCAUGAUUCCCAACUGAGAUGUUGCGCAGCUGCAAGUACUUCAAGCAAAAAGAGAAACAAAGAAUGGGAACAC